ACAACAUUCGGACCGUCGGUCUACCAAGGAAUAUCGCCCGCCCGUUGGAAGAUCUUCUUUUUGACGA
rnacentral:pre_miRNA from 1 species